AGCUCCGUGGUGUAGUGGCCAAGCAUAACGGGCUCUGGACCCGUCGACGGCAGUUCGAAUCUGCCCGGAGCUAC
rnacentral:tRNA from 1 species